rnacentral:rRNA from 1 species
GACGUCGACCGGCGCACGGGUGAGUAUCGCGUAUCCAACCUUCCCUCCACUCGGGGAUACCCCGUUGAAAGACGGCCUAAUACCCGAUGUUGCCCACAUAUGGCAUCUGACGUGGACCAAAGAUUCAUCGGUGGAGGAUGGGGAUGCGUCUGAUUAGCUUGUUGGUGCGGGUAACGGCCCACCAAGGCGACGAUCAGUAGGGGUUCUGAGAGGAAGGUCCCCCACAUUGGAACUGAGACAUGGUCCAAACUCCUACGGGAGGCAGCAGUGAGGAAUAUUGGUCAAUGGACGUAAGUCUGAACCAGCCAAGUAGCGUGCAGGAUUGACGGCCCUAUGGGUUGUAAACUGCUUUUGUUGGGGAGUAAAGUGAGGCACGUGUGCCUUUUUGCAUUUACCCUUCGAAUAAGGACCGGCUAAUUCCGUGCCAGCAGCCGCGGUAAUACGGAAGGUCCAGGCGUUAUCCGGAUUUAUUGGGUUUAAAGGGAGUGUAGGCGGUCUGUUAAGCGUGUUGUGAAAUUUAGGUGCUCAACA